rnacentral:rRNA from 1 species
GGUUAAUAUUCCUGUACUUGGUGUUACUGCGAAGGGGGGACGGAGAAGGCUAUGUUAGCCGGGCGACGGUUGUCCCGGUUUAAGCAUGUAGGCUGGUUGUCCAGGCAAAUCCGGAUAAUCAAGGCUGAGGUGUGAUGACGAGGCACUACGGUGCUGAAGUAACAAAUGCCCUGCUUCCAGGAAAAGCCUCUAAGCAUCAGGUAACAUUAAAUCGUACCCCAAACCGACACAGGUGGUCAGGUAGAGAAUACCAAGGCGCUUGAGAGAACUCGGGUGAAGGAACUAGGCAAAAUGGUGCCGUAACUUCGGGAGAAGGCACGCUGGUGUGUAGGUGAAGCCCCUGCGGGUGGAGCUGAGACCAGUCGAAGAUACCAGCUGGCUGCAACUGUUUAUUAAAAACACAGCACUGUGCAAACACGAAAGUGGACGUAUACGGUGUGACGCCUGCCCGGUGCCGGAAGGUUAAUUGAUGGGGUUAUCCGUAAGGAGAAGCUCUUGAUCGAAGCCCCGGUAAACGGCGGCCGUAACUAUAACGGUCCUAAGGUAGCGAAAUUCCUUGUCGGGUAAGUUCCGACCUGCACGAAUGGCGUAAUGAUGGCCAGGCUGUCUCCACCCGAGACUCAGUGAAAUUGAACUCGCUGUGAAGAUGCAGUGUACCCGCGGCAAGACGGAAAGACCCCGUGAACCUUUACUAUAGCUUGACACUGAACAUUGAGCCUUGAUGUGUAGGAUAGGUGGGAGGCUUUGAAGCGUGGACGCCAGUCUGCGUGGAGCCAACCUUGAAAUACCACCCUUUAAUGUUUGAUGUUCUAACGUUGGCCCCUUACCGGGGUUGCGGACAGUGUCUGGUGGGUAGUUUGACUGGGGCGGUCUCCUCCCAAAGCGUAACGGAGGAGCACGAAGGUUAGCUAAUCCUGGUCGGACAUCAGGAGGUUAGUGCAAUGGCAUAAGCUAGCUUGACUGCGAGCGUGACGGCGCGAGCAGGUGCGAAAGCAGGUCAUAGUGAUCCGGUGGUUCUGAAUGGAAGGGCCAUCGCUCAACGGAUAAAAGGUACUCCGGGGAUAACAGGCUGAUACCGCCCAAGAGUUCAUAUCGACGGCGGUGUUUGGCACCUCGAUGUCGGCUCAUCACAUCCUGGGGCUGAAGUAGGUCCCAAGGGUAUGGCUGUUCGCCAUUUAAAGUGGUACGCGAGCUGGGUUUAGAACGUCGUGAGACAGUUCGGUCCCUAUCUGCCGUGGGCGCUGGAGAAUUGAGGGGGGCUGCUCCUAGUACGAGAGGACCGGAGUGGACGCAUCACUGGUGUUCGGGUUGUCAUGCCAAUGGCACUGCCCGGUAGCUAAAUGCGGAAGAGAUAAGUGCUGAAAGCAUCUAAGCACGAAACUUGCCCCGAGAUGAGUUCUCCCUGAGACUUUAAGUCUCCUGAAGGAACGUUAAAGACGAUGACGUUGAUAGGCCGGGUGUGUAAGCGCAGCGAUGCGUUGAGCUAACCGGUACUAAUGAACCGUGAGGCUUAACCUU